CAGAUGUGUCAAGUAUGUCGAACAGCCCUUUAAAGUAUACUAUGUAUGGUUUGCUGGGGGCUAAGAUUGGGCCAGCAGUUGUCUAAACCUGGUGGGAGGAGUCCAAAUGAACCCAUAAAUGACCACUGAAUUCGGGAAUUUGGUCUUCCUAAUCCUGCUGCUAAUGUUUAUUUUGCAUUGUUCGAUCUCCUGCUGCCUACAAUGCUGGAUAAAGAGAGACACAAGAUAUUCAUCUACACGUACAGUCACUGUGUUUACCUUGAGCAGCUUGGAUUCUGUAUACGAAAAAGUAAUCAAAAAAAUCCUGUUCCUGAGUGGUUAGUUGUUCAGCAGUUUCAGCUUUUACAGAACAACACAGAUUCAAAUUACCAUUAAUAGGGCUGAUGGCUAGUUCCUCUGCUCAAAUCUUUGAAAAACUGGAAAUAAGAAAAUAAUUUUUAAUCGUUUUUAAUAUAAACAAGGGAAGGUAAUACAGGAAUACAGUAAUAAAACACACAGUAGUUGGUAAACUAAAUAACUUUUUAUCUAAAAGUAAAUGGCCAACAAAUACAAGCAGCACUCCUAGCAAGGUGGCAAAAAUAGGGGCCUCACUAACUAACUACUGUAUACAGGCACAAACUGUCUGACUAACUAAAAGAAAGUAAAGUCUUUUAAAGGAAUUGUUCAGUAUAAAAAUACAAGCUGAGUAAAUAGA